CCUACGGGAGGCAGCAGUGAGGAAUAUUGGUCAAUGGUCGGGAGACUGAACCAGCCAAGCCGCGUGAGGGAUGAAGGUACAGAGUAUCGUAAACCUCUUUUGUCAGGGAACAAAGGCGGGGACGUGUCCCCGGAUGAGUGUACCUGAAGAAAAAGCAUCGGCUAACUCCGUGCCAGCAGCCGCGGUAAUACGGAGGCUGCGAGCGUUAUCCGGAUUUAGUGGGUUUAAAGGGUGCGCAGGCGGUCUGUUAAGUCAGCGGUCAAAGCCCGGGGCUCAACCCCGGCCCGCCGUUGAAACUGGCAGUCUCGAGUUGGAGAGAAGUAUGCGGAAUGCGCGGUGUAGCGGUGAAAUGCAUAGAUAUCGCGCAGAACUCCGAUUGCGAAGGCAGCAUGCCGGCUCCACACUGACGCUGAGGCACGAAAGCGUGGGUAUCGAACAGGAUUAGAUACCCUUGUAGUC
rnacentral:rRNA from 1 species